rnacentral:rRNA from 1 species
CCUACGGGUGGCAGCAGUGGGGAAUUUUGGACAAUGGGGGCAACCCUGAUCCAGCCAUGCCGCGUGCGGGAAGAAGGCCUUCGGGUUGUAAACCGCUUUUGUCAGGGAAGAAAUCUCCUGGGCUAAUACCUCGGGGGGAUGACGGUACCUGGAGAAUAAGCACCGGCUAACUACGUGCCAGCAGCCGCGGUAAUACGUAGGGUGCAAGCGGUAAUCGGAAUUACUGGGCGUGAAGGUGCAGGACGCGGUUGAAAUCCCCGGGCUUAACCUGGGAACUGCAUUUGUGACUGCAUAGCUGGAGUGCGGCAGAGGGGGAUGGAAUUCCGCGUGUAGCAGUGAAAUGCGUAGAUAUGCGGAGGAACACCGAUGGCGAAGGCAAUCCCCUGGGCCUGCACUGACGCUCAUGCACGAAAGCGUGGGGAGCAAACAGGAUUAGAUACCCCGGUAGUC